GUUUUGUAUUAAAAGAUAGGAAAUGGCAACAAGGCCCUUGAAUGCUUAGAUGUAGGAAUAAAUUAAAUGAGGGGUAGUGUGGUAAUUGAACAAUAGUUGAUAUAUAUAAAUAGAGAGGAGAAAAAAAAAAAAAAAACAAAAGAGAGAUCUGAAUUUUGAGAGAGAACCGGCAGGAGAGAAAGGGAGAAAGAAGAAGAAGAAGAGAAAAGAGGGAAAUUAGAAAGGAAAUAGAAAGGAGUUGGAGGAAAUAAGUAAAAAGAUAAUCCUGAUAUUCUACCGGCGGGACGUCAGUAGGAUUUUCUUCGAUAUCAGCUUUGAGUUUUGUUGCUUUUGAGUCAGGCUUAUAGCUUGAUAGCAGGUCACUUUUGUUGGACUUUCCGAACCUGCUCUUUUGGUUGUAAUUUGUACAUUUUCCUUUAUGUCUAGUUAGUGCUCCAAAACUCCGAAUUUAUAUUAACUCUUGUAUUAAGACAAUUCAAUUAUAUUAUGAAGUUGAUUUUGUUAUUAA